rnacentral:rRNA from 1 species
GGCAAGAGCUCAAAUUUGAAAGCUGGCUCCUUCGGGGUCCGCAUUGUAAUUUGCAGAGGAUGUUUCGGGAGCGGCUCCCAUCUAAGUGUCCUGGAACGGACCGUCAUAGAGGGUGAGAAUCCCGUAUGGGAUGGGGUGUCCGCGCCCGUGUGAAACUCCUUCGACGAGUCGAGUUGUUUGGGAAUGCAGCUCUAAAUGGGUGGUAAAUUUCAUCUAAAGCUAAAUAUUGGCCGGAGACCGAUAGCGCACAAGUAGAGUGAUCGAAAGAUGAAAAGCACUUUGAAAAGAGAGUUAAAAAGCACGUGAAAUUGUUGAAAGGGAAGCGUUUGCGAUCAGACUCGCCUUCGGGGUUCAGCCUGCCUUCGGGCAGGUGUACUUCCCCGUCGGCGGGCCAGCGUCGGUUUGGGUGGCCGGUCAAAGGCCCUGGGAAUGUAACGCCUCUCGGGGCGUCUUAUAGCCCAGGGUGUCAUGCGGCCUACCCGGACCGAGGAACGCGCUUCGGCUCGGACGCUGGCAUAAUGGUCGUAAACGACCCGUCUUGAAACACGGACCAAGGAGUCUAACAUCUAUGCGAGUGUUCGGGUGUCAAACCCGUGCGCGAAGUGAAAGCGAACGGAGGUGGGAACCCUUUGGGUGCACCAUCGACCGAUCCUGAUGUCUUCGGAUGGAUUUGAGUAAGAGCAUAGCUGUUGGGACCCGAAAGAUGGUGAACUAUGCCUGAAUAGGGCGAAGCCAGAGGAAACUCUGGUGGAGGCUCGCAGCGGUUCUGACGUGCAAAUCGAUCGUCAAAUUUGGGUAUAGGGGCGAAAGACUAAUCGAACCAUCUAGUA